CAUGCAGGUGGUUUGUUAAGUCAGAUGUGAAAGCCCGGGGCUCAACCUCGGAAUUGCUAUUUGAAACUGGCAAACUAGAGUACUGUAGAGGGGGUAGGAAUUUCAGGUGUAGCGGUGAAAUGCGUAGAGAUCUGAAGGAAUACCGGUGGCGAAGGCGGCCCCCUGGACAGAUACUGACACUCAGAUGCGAAAGCGUGGGGAGCAAACAGGAUUAGAUACCCUCGGUAG
rnacentral:rRNA from 1 species